UUCAAGCCCAUUUGUUUGUCUGUCAAGCACAUGACGUCUUUCAUCCUAGCCGCCUCCGAUUAGAUUCUUGUAACGUCUUCUCUUUCCCAUUAAUUUUCUCCUUUAAUCAGACCAUUAACAUGGUCAUCCCACUCGCUGCAUUAUUAAUUCGAGCUCAGACUCUUCGUUACCUAACUGGCGAAAGAUUUGGUUUCGUCGAUCGACUGCAACUCGACUUGGGUUUGUGCUUUCAGUCCGUAAAAAAAACAAGAGCUGAUCGGCAGCGUUUAUUCAGUAUUGGGGAGGUGAAAUCCAAUCCCUUCGCUUCGCGCCAGGCUUAGCAACGCAAGGGGAGAAACAGGCCCGGUUCACCAUAAUGUAGACCUGAGAACGUUUAACACAGUCAGAACUCAAAGCUACAUGAAGGGAUGAGUGAAAGAAAAGGCAGUGCCUCUCAAUGAUAUACAAAGGGAAUUUUGGUCGAGAGACAUUUCACGACUUACAUAGCUCGAGAACAACUUUUUUCAAGCAAGGUGAUGACUCUGUAAAAAAAAUUCCAAGCUAUUUUCUUUUGACAACUAUACAUAAUUUUGGCUUAUUUCUUCCUGGUCAGAUUAGUAGAUAUCUCUAAUGCAGAAGCUUUGAUUUUUGUUAAGCAGUCAACAUGACAGUUGAUGCUCUAUGUUUCUUCAAAUGCUGAAGAUUUUUCUUACAAAGCAAUUAUAAGAAACAGAAAAACUUCCGCUAACUUGAACCAUUGGGUUUGGCUUUGCUAGGAACAAUAUCAUACAAUGAUGCUCUUUUCAUGUUUCCUGUUAAGAACUACUAGAUUCUCUUUCUCAGGAAGCGACUCUUUUUCUUCAGGGAUACAGCUUCUGUAUCAAUAAAUCAUGUCUGAUGAUACAAAACUCUUUGUAGCAUGGUUUUCUGCCUCUAUGUAUCCGGUCCUCUCUUAUCUAAGAGAUAGCUCACGAAAUAUGUCUUUAAUUGAAAUCUCAUUGCAGAUGUUGGCUGAAGAACACUGGUGUAGUGAAUGUGCAAACUAUACGAUGGCGUCACUUAAUGAAAUGAUGUAGGAAUACCAAAGGCAAGUUGACCGAGAAAUAUAAACUCAACUGAUUCUCUAGCAGGGGAUGGCAUGAGAAUACAUUUUGUACAUAAGCGUACUCAUAUCUUUAUACUGUUUCUGUCUUGCUCAUAUUUUAUACUAUUUUGUCUUAUAAAAUACAUUAUCUAAUACAUUAUCUUAAAGAAAAAUAAACGAAUCAUUGUCGUU